AUGGCGCUGGUGACGGUCUGUCUGCUGCUGUGGGCUGUUGGAGUUGCACUCGUUUCAGCAACAGCUGACGUGGACGUAGAAGACGAUGACUUUCCGGACGGCAGCGGGGAAUCCCCAGCGUCUGAUGGAGGCAGCUCAGCGUUGGACUCAGAUGGACUCGUUUUUCUGUGUUCUCUGCUCACAUGGAUAUUUGCAUGAAGAAUGAUCGACUCGUCGGGCUGUUUGGAUUUGGACCCACCUGAGACCGACCCGGCUCUCAACAGACUCUGUUUAUCUUUAAUAGACCGACAUGUGCAGUAAAAGCACCAGAAUAAAGAAUGUAUGAAGGUCGUGCUCUGUUCA
rnacentral:lncRNA from 1 species